GACGAACGCUGGCGGCGUGCUUAACACAUGCAAGUCGAACGGAAAGGCCCUGCUCUUGUGGGGUGCUCGAUUGGCGAACGGGGGAGUAACACGUGAGUAACCUGCCCUUGACUUUGGGAUAACUUCAGGAAACUGGGGCUAAUACCGGAUAGGAGCUCCUGCUGCACGGGGGGGGUUGGAAAGUUUCGGCGGUUGGGGCUGGACUCGCGGCUUAUCCGCUUGUUGGUGGGGUAGUGGCUUACCAGGGCUUUGAAGGGUAGCCGGCCUUAGAGGGUGACCGGCCACAUUGGGACUGCGAUACGGCCCAGACUCCUACGGGAGGCAGCGGUGGGGAAUAUUGCACAAUGGGCGGAAGCCUGUUGCAGCAGCGCCGCGUGCGGGAUGACGGCCUUCUGGUUGUAAACCGCUUUCGCCUGUGACGAAGCGUGAGUGACGGUAAUGGGUAAAGAAGCACCGGCUAACUACGUG
rnacentral:rRNA from 1 species